rnacentral:rRNA from 1 species
AUGGCGCCGAAGAGGGAGCUGGUCUUGGCCAGCGCCCGGGGCUCGGAGUCGGCGAAGCGCCUGCGCGUGGGGGUCCCUGGAGCUGCCUGCGCCGGCGGCAGCGAGAGCGAGCGGUCGGUGCCGGCGUCGCCGGGAAAGCGGCUGCUGCGGCAGACAGUGUUCGUCGUGCUCUUUCUUGUGCGAAUGAGCGAAAAGAUCACGGUGACGGAAAGUAUGUCGCAGAUUGGUCGCAUGGUUCAGAAACUUCACAAGGUUCAGACUCUUAUCAUGAGCAAAUUGGAAAGUUUACAGCAGCAGAUGGAGGAUAUAAGCCAUGAAGUGAAGAAAUUGGCUUGUUUGCAUUCCGACCGACAUGCUGAUCAACACCCAAGAUCAGAACCAUAUCAGGAGGGUGCCACUUUGAGUGAACAGAACGCCAACAUUCGCCUGCGUUUCCUGGAUGGCCUGAAGACUCCAGUUUACACAGAUAAGAACAUAACAUCUGAAAGCGAUGCGGCUAUCAGGAUUGGCAUCUUUAAUGGUGAUAACAUGAUCAAGGAAGGCCUGCUUUCAAAGCUGAAAAUUGAGAUCCUGGUUCUCCAUGGAGACUUCUGCAACGACUGCCAGGGAAACUGGACCGGAGAGGAGUUCAAUAGCCAGAUCGUGCAAGGCCGGGACGGACACAGGUUUGUGUUAGGGGGUGAUUGCAGUGUGUGGUUGAACAAUGGAGAGGCCUCCUUCGGCAGGAUUCGUUUCAAAGAAGGAUCAUCCAGGACUCGCAGUAGGAAGUUCGUCGUGGGAGCAAGAGUUUGUAUGGGCGAAAAGACUGGUGUUCGAGUCCAAGAAGCUGUCAUGAAGCCGGUCACGGUGCUGGAUCGUAGAAAUGAAGCAAAUGAGAAGAGGUACCCUCCAAAACCAAAUGAUGAAGUGUAUCGUCUGGAAGAAAUUGCCAACGAUGGAACUUACCACAGGAGGCUUAAAAAUGCUAAAAUCUACACAGUGGAAGACUUCUUGAAGGCUCUGAAUAAGGACGCAGACGACCUCCGUGUAAGGGUUCUUCUGAUAAAGAAGGUGAACAACUCUUGGGAAAAAAUGGUUAAGCAUGCUAAGGGAUGCUGUCUCACAGACAUAAAUGAUAGGAUGAAUGUCAGUCUUCCUCAACAAGUUCCAUUUGACUAUGUGAUGAAUGACAAUCUUUCUUCUCUGGAUGCAGUCAUUCUUGAGCCGGAUGAGACUCUUCAAGGAACCACAGCAAACGAAAACCGGCUUCAUGAUAGGAUUGACCAUGUCACUGAACCAUCUCACCACAAUGAGUAUGUUCAUGGUGAUCAGAACACAGUUAAGUCAAAUUAUUACCAAGGUCGAUCCAAUCCAGAAAAUGGCAAUCUUGCUGAACAUGUUCCAUUUAACUAUGUGAUGAAUGUCAAUCCUCCUGAACAAGCUCCCUCUAGCACACAUUCCUCUCUGGAUGCGGUCAUGCUUAAGCCGGAUGAGGUACUUCAAGGAACCGCAGCGGAUGAAAACCGGUUUCAUCAAGUCACUGAACCAUCUCACUCCAAUGAGCAUGUUCAUGGUGAUCAGAAUGCAGUUAAUACACAUUGUUACCAAGGUGCCCCACCCCUUGGCCAGCAGCAACCUACAACAUUCAUGGCACCUUCACAGUUGGAUGGUGAAUUUCUAUGGAUCUUAGAAGGAUCAGUUCAAGCAAACAUCCAUAGCCAGAUGCAAGUUCCCAUAUCCAUGGAUUGUGGCAGUGCCAUGGAGGCAUCAACCUCUGUCCAACACAACCUUCUACCGCAACCAUUUGUGCCUACUCAAUUCCAAGAAAGCAUGCCUGGGAUCCAUUACUCUGAGAAUCCACCUAACCAUGCCUCUGGACCAACGAUAUGGCACGAUGAUCCUAUAACCGAACCGGAGCCUAGCGCUUAUCCUUAUCCUGGGCUGGAUCAUGGAAACUUUUAG